CAUCGAAAAGAGGUUUUUCUUGAAUGCAAUUCUUUAAUUUCACAACUUGUGAUGAACUGAGGAAGAUCAAAGCUUUCAAAAAAUAUGUUAAAAAAGAUUUGAUAACAUGUGAAGCUGCAAAAAAACAUACGCUAACAGUUCCACUUGUUCAAAUUGUUGUUUGUUCUGACAAUAAACAUAAAGAACUACAGAGCAUUUCAAACAAUGACAGUGACAUGGGGAGGUUUACACGGAAGUUUAGCAGUUACCCAUCUUGCAUUAUAGGUUGUCAUGCACGAUCUCUUCUGUGUACAUGAUAUGUGUAACUUGUGCAAAUUGUUUUUCAUUCUCGCAAGGAACCAUCGAGAGAGAAAAAAACUCAGCAAUGAAAUUAUAAGGAACUUUCUACCUUGGAACAUGACUAUCCAGAAUGUACCAGAGCGAUCUAAAAUACUGGAACAUAUCUGGAAUGAAGUGGCAUCUAAUAGAACGUGGAGUAACUAGUCCCGAGCACAUAUGCGCUCGAUAUCUGCAGAGUCGGUCAGUGCUUCUGGAUCUGGGCCAUUUCUUUAUUUGCGUGGUCGUGGGCUGCCAGAAAUUGGGCACUGUUUGCAAAUAUGUACACCACAGGGGUAGGUGGUGGGCCAUGGAGAUGGAAUAGAAUGGCUAGUUUUAACACAAAGGUGAACGGCGGCGAGGUGAGCCGUGGAUCAGAAUCGCGGCUCCCCGUCUGAUCCGUUCGCUUUCCGUCUGAGACGAAUUGAAUGCAGGGGCGAGAGUCUUCUUCCCCAAGGGUCAUUUGGUAGCUGAUGAGGAGUGCGGGAUAGUGGUCUGGACCGCCGGCGGCGGGGCACCGUGAAGCUUCUGAUGCAACCGAUUGGCUGGUACGUUGAUCUUUUGGUUUUGGACGGGCGCAUCUCCAUUUGUAGAGGGUCGGCUUGGUUGACUGAGAGGAUCCCUUUCUCCCGCAUUGCUUGAGGAGGUGGGGAAGAGUUUGGUCCCCGCCCCUGUGCGUGCGAAAGGCCAAGUUGUGGCAGGGCCAACGGCGCCGCGGCAGACAGCGGUGAAGAGCAGAUCUUCGCGGCGGAGGGAAGGGAGAGGUCACCGCCGACAUCGGAGCUGUCAACAGAGAGGAUGGAUCCUCAGGCGCCCGGAUGGAACCAGAGGAUAGGAAGAAGAUUAUCAAAAGCUUGAAGGGGAAGAGUAUGAAGAUCACUCUCAGUGAGUAUGUAUGCCUUGUAAGUGAUGUCUAUAUAUGUAAUAUAUUUUAGUGUUUAAAUAGGAUCGUACUGUGUGAAUUCUAUACUCUCACCUAUACAAACAUUCUUCCAGUGCACACAAACUUUGGAUGCAAUUAAUCAUCAACUGAAUUAACAUGUAUUUUUUUCCUCCAGUUUGUUGUUUGUCUUCUAUCCAUUGUUGAUAACGCAAAACUUGUUACUGAGGUUAGCCAGCACCAAUCGUUUGCUUGAACCAGCUGUUAUGCUUAUAGCUUACUUAUAAGUUGAUUGAACCUUUUAUCUGGGAGCUUCACUGACAGGAUCCAUGUACUUCAGGACUGGUCAAUUCCCAUGUCUUUGCAAAUUUUGUUUUCACUUUUUCAUGAUUUAUAAUUUAAUUUGGUUUAGAAAGCAUGGUUGAGAUGCAGCCUAUUAACAGUAAAGGGUCGUGGUCUACGUAAAGGAUUACUAGGAUGGCGAGCCCACGAUGGCGCUGAUGAUCAGCUGAUCAAGCAGGUGAUGAUGAAGGCGUGGGUCUACUCAGUGGGGGCAGCGGAGGGCGCGGACAGUAAUAACAGUUGGGGGCAGCGGAGAGUUGUCUGUAAUGCAUUUCCCAUGCCAUCAGGCUGUAUCUUUGUUUUUCUUCUUUCUUGUAGUACUAUAAAUACAAAUGUAUGAGUAGAUCUGAACUUAUAAUUUCUCUGUAACACAUGCCUAAGCUUCCUAGAAAUGCUCACGUACAGAACAGAGACCAAACAAGCCAACUGAAUUAGCGGUGGCAAACAGGCACCGCACAGUCGUGUCUCGGGAGGGCGCUGAACCCAUUACAUUCAGAGAUGCUGGCUGCUGAAGCUGCACUUCACUUGGCGUCAGAUUUAGGAAUGGGCAAGGUCUACAUGGAAACUGAUGCUCUGUUGCUGAAGGAAGCGCUAGAUGAUACUGGCAUUCAUCUCUCGUGCCUUGGUGUUGUGGCGGACCGCUUAAAAACUUUUAUCAUGUGUAAUUUCAUUGA